ACCAAAUCUGCCAGCACCUCUGUCUUGAACGUUCCAGUCUUCAGAGCCAUGACUCGCAGUAUUUCUUUGAAGUGUGCAUCUGUUGUGAAGAAGGAGUACAGCUGGAAAAAAUAGAGCGUCAACUGUAUUUUCUGUGUAGGUGUUUUUCAAUCGGCUGCCCAGGACGAUAUUGCAUAUUUGAGCAAUAUGCUUUCCAUUUUACUGCCCUUUUCCAAAUCACACAAUUAAUAGAUAACAACCCAAGAUCCACAUACACUCUGAGGGCUGUGGGGAAGUGGAGUGAGAGAAGAGAAUUCCUGUGCACAUGGGCUGAAUGGGUGGUAGGGAGGAGUUCUAGUUUUUCCUUCUAUCUUGGAAGGAUAGGACUUGGUUUCUUUCAGAGACAUGAACCCUUAUGUGCUAGAAAAGGAAGCCGCAGAGAAUUUUCCAGGGACUGGUACAAAGGUUGUAAAAUAGGACAUGAAAUGACAGAGAAGCGGGUGCUCUUACUGCAAAGUCUGUCUUGAAUUUCAGCUUUACUGGGAGAGGUGUGUGAUAUUAUUCUGCUAGUAGCUUCAUGGGUUAGCCUCAUAAAACAUAGUUAUCCCCCCAGGGGAUGCUGGUCUUUUCUUAUUUUUUUCAUCAUUCUUCCUUAUUCCUCAUUAAGAAUCACAACCUUCUCUCUCUGUCCUUCCCCAAAUUUCCAAGCAAUAGAAGGACACUUUUAUAAUUAUGACUCCAUUAGAGAUCAUCUAGAAAUCGAAAAUGAUUCUGUGAAGCCCAAAUAUCUGAGACAGGUCUCAUUCAAUUUAGGAAGUUCAUUUUGCCACAGUUAAGGAGGUGCACCAGUGACACAGCCUUAGGAAGUCCUGACAAUGUGUGUUAAAAGUGGUCGGGGCAAUAGCUUGGGUGUCCACAUUCUAGGGAGACAUGAGACAUCAAUCAAUUAUGUAAAAUGUAUAUUGGUUUGGUCUGGAAAGGCAGGACAACUGGAAGCAGAGACAGGGCCUCCAGGUCAUACAUAGUUAAGAGACAAAUGAUUGCAUUCUUUUGAGUUUCUGAUUAAUGUUUAAAAAUGAGGCAAUCAGAUACACAUUCAUCUCAGGAGCAGAGGGAUGGGAGGCAUGUUUGCCCUCAACAGUUUCCCUCUUGAGUUUUCCCUUUAGCUUAGUGAUUUUGGGGGGGAGGGUCCCAAGAUUUAUUUUCCUUUCAAAAAUCCAAAUGUAUGUGUCUCCAGAUAUUUUAUUUUAUUCUCAUAAAGGAUGGGAAUGCAGAAUAUGCUUUGUUUUAUUUUUUUAAAAAAAGACUAGGUGUUUACCUUUAAAAUUUCAGGUUUUAGAAACAUUGUGUUUUAGAAGUCUUUCCUUGAAAAAUAUGCAGACCGAAGCAAAAUCUACUCACCCUCGCUUUUAGGAGACCUCAAACUGAACAUUUGCCUACGUGGCCUUCUUUUGUUUUUUCAAGCUUAUUUCAAUAGGACUGAUCAUAACUCGUAUUCAAACAGCAAUCCAAAGGACAGAAGAUCUUUAUCCUUGCAAAGGGUGGUCAUAAUUUUGUUAAGUAAGAAGACACCGGUGAAAACGAUCACCGCAAAUCCAUUUCCAUAAGAAAAAAGAACCAGUGUAACUUGAAAAGGCCUUUUAUUCAAUCUCAAGGACAGAAUUGGGGGAAAAUUCUAAAUGCUGAAAUCACAAUAAGGCCCACUAAGAUUUUCUCCUAUUUACUCGCAGACCCUGCUCUAGACUGCAUGCUGGACAGGGGGCUGCCCUGAGCUCACACCACGGCCGUAAAGCUCCCUGCUUGCGUUCUCCCGCCCGCCUGCAUUCCCGCCACCGAGCAGCAGCUGUGUGAUUUUUUUUUUUUUUUUUUUUUUUUUUUUUUCCCGGCCCGGGCUGCCCUGGGCGAAUGCUCUUCGUCAAGUUCCCUCUUAAACAGUGGUCAAACAUUCUUCUGGUGCAUCUAUUAUUUUCAGGUCCUUUAUUACAGGUACUGACCCUGUAAUCUCAGCAGCACAGGUUCGCCCAGCAGGGCUUCGGGAUGCUUCCCUGACUCUCCCCCGACUUUCACACCAACGCCCUCCGGGGACGAUUCCAAUGGGUGUCAAGUCCAUUCUCUGAUGAACAGACUCGCGCUUUGAGAGCAUCUUCAGGGUCAGCGCAUCCAGGGACCAUUUUCCUCGAGCGCCACCGCCUGGCCCAAACGGGAACGACCUGUGCCCGUUGCUGAGGACAAACACUGGAGAUGGAAUUUCUAGUGUUUGUACAAUCUUCGUCCUUUUCCAUUUUUUGUAAAGUGACGAUGACAGAUAUUUUCGCUUAUGACUGCAAGUAUUUUUCCUCUGAAUAAAUAUACCAUUUUUUUCUGGCAAUAAUUUGCGUUUAAAAAUAGGCCGGGCGCGGUGGCUCACGCCUGUAAUCCCAGCACUUUGGGAGGCUGAGGGGGGUGGAUCAUGAGGUCAAGAGAUCGAGACCAUCCUGGUCAACAUGGUGAAACCCCGUCUCUACUAAAAAUACAAAAAAAUUAGCUGGGCACGGUGGCGCGUGCCUGUAAUCCCAGCUACUCAGGAGGCUGAGGCAGGAGAAUUGCCUGAUCCCAGGAGGCGAAGGUGGCGGUGAGCCAAGAUGGCGCCAUUGCACUCCAGUCUGGGUAACAAGAGCGAAACUCCGUCUCAAAAAAAAAAAAAAAAAAAAAAAAAUACUGAGACUGGGCAUGGUGGCUCACUCCUGUAAUUCCAGCAAUUUAGGAGGCCGAGGUGGGAGGAUGGCUUGAGUCCAGGAGUUUGAGACCAGCCUGGGCAACAUAGCAAGACCCCGUCUCUACAAAAAUAAUUUUCAGAACUAUUGGGUGAGCUGGCGUGCACCUGUAGUUCCAGCGACUCAGGAGGCUGAGAAGGAGGGAUGGCUACAGUGAGCUGUGAUCACACACUGCACUCCAGCCUCAGUGACACAGCAAGAGCCUCCUUUAAAAAAAAGGAAAAAGAAAAAAAUAAAAAUACUGAAAUGAGAGCUAUCCUAUACCCUCAACUAUAUAUUACAUAAAUUGUAUUCUUUCGAAUUCUAAACGCUGGAUAGGAUGUGAUUUGGUAAUAACAUAAAAAUAUAAGAGCAGAAACAGGCAAACAAAAAGGAGAAAGUGUUUUUCCUCUGGCAUUCUAACCUUGGUGGACAGGAUGGGUGGAGAACCCCUAAAGGGCUUGCUUGGUUGGUGCCCACCCCUGCCUGCUCCCCAGUGGUCAAGACGGAGCACUGAUGCUACAGACCCAGGCUCCAGAAUACACUGGAGGCAAAGGCUCCCAAAAGAGUGUGCACACCUCGACGAGUAUAUGCGUGUGAGCAAACACCUCUGUAAGGAGUCUCCUUGGGGCAUUAAAAGAAAAUAUUAACAUUUCUCUUCAUACUUGUUUUUAUCUCAAAUUUCAAUGCCUUUAUUUUUAUAGGGCACAUGGAAUUAUUCAAACGCUUGUAUAUUGUUUACAAAGCAAAUCAGUGUUUUCAUAGGUCUUGGGUGUGUGGCUCUAAAAAUUCGAGUUUGCCAAGGAGGUGGUGGAAGGAUGAUGACGGCUUCCCUUGGACUGGGCAGAGGUGGGUCGAGUAGGGUGUGGAUCUUGAUCUUUCUGCCUGGGGCGCAGUCCUAUGGCCAAGGAACAGGAUCCCUUUUUCCACCCCUUACUUGUAGACUGCCCAGGUGCAGGAGUGAGGGGUGCAAGGAGCCACCCUUAUGAGAAGGUGCAG
ensembl:lncRNA